GGAAGUAAAAGAACAAGGUCUCCGUUGGUGAACCAGCGGAGGGAUCAUUACAGAGUUGCAAAACUCCCAAACCAUUGUGAACGUUACCUAUCCCGUUGCUUCGGCGGGCGGCCCGGGCCCCGCGCCCGGCGCCCCUCGGCCCCCCGUGGGCGCCCGCCGGAGGUAAACCAAACCCUUGAAUUGCAUGGCCUCUCUGAGUCUUCUGUACUGAAUAAGUCAAAACUUUCAACAACGGAUCUCUUGGUUCUG
rnacentral:misc_RNA from 1 species